CGUAAAUACUGCAAUGCGGGUUCCAUGGAAUUUGAGCCCUGAGAGUAAUCUAGUAGGCUAGUAGUACACAGCAAGUUAUCCAAGCUCAGGUCUUGUUACCAAAAUGGCUUGUGAAACAUAAUAAAACAUUCAGAGAAGGAAAGGCUAGUGGAGCUGUUGUGCUUUAUAAGAGGAUCACACAACGCUGAACUUAGUUUGACCCCAGUUGAAGGUUUUGAAGAAAAUAUUAUUUGUGAGAUAUGUCAGGCUUCUCAAAGGCUUUCGGGCUUUGAGUGUCAAUGGAGUAUGCUUUUCAGCUGUAUAUUUUAACAUGCAUGUUACCAUAUCAGGAAUUUGGAAAGUCACACAUACAAGCUGGAACAUUGAUAAUGUCCCCUUUUUAAAUAAAUAAUUUGUUCCUUACCCAACUGGGAGCUCCAUUGGCCUGCUUGCUUCACACCCUCCUCCCCAUUCCCCCGUUUCCUGGGCAACCCUGUCAGGGUGGAGAAAAAGAGAAAAUCAUAUGAGGGCAGAGCAUCUCUCUCUCUCUGUCUUUCUCUCGGUCUUUCUCUCUCUCCCCCUCCCUCUGUGUAUAUAACAGCAUCUCCAUGCUUUCACACACCACUCAGUUCAGUUCUGCAGAGGGGAUGGAUACAGAGCGCAGGAGUCUACCACCAAAUAGGAAAUCAGUGUGACUGAGAGACAUAAAACAACUCUUCCUUUCAUCUGUUUCCAUCUCCACAUGGCUGUUGCUCUUUUCUCCUUUCCCUCCUCUUUGAGCUCCUCUCGUUUUCUUGGACGAUAGCUGCAUCCAUGCAGAAUGGGUUGUGGCAAUUCCUCAGCCGCCAGCACGUCUGGAGGGGGACAGAAGAACCCUCACCAGACGAUGAGAAAAGAAGGAACUAUGGCGGGGUGUAUGUUGGUCUGCCAUCUGACAUGACCACUGUGGCAGCCAGCCAGUCCAAGUCCACAGGAAAAGGACUGUAGAUACAUUAUUCAAAACAUACAGGGACAUUCAAUUCACAUGUUGAGAGGAGGAGUGUGCUCGGAUUACUGAUUCCCCAACACAAUACAGCCUUCGUAAGAGUGAGAGACCGUUCCCUGGCCCGGACCAUAAGGUCAGCCUACUUCUGUCCUGAGGAAACUGUGUCAGUGUGGCACCGAGUGGAGGCUCCAUGGACACCUUUUUCUGAGGAUUCUUUGCCCUUAUUGACACUCACAUAGAUGUGGACAGCAGAACCAGAGCAGUCGGUGGCCGUGGGGAGAACGUGAGCAUUUGGACCAACCUCCAGGACUAUAGGGCAAUGUUCUGGAGCAGCUUCUUGGGCUCAGGAAGAGACGUGAGACAAACACAGCCACCCUGAGACUCCUCCUCGACAGGCUCUGCCAGCGGCUGACAGGGACAAGAAUUCGACCCUAGCAUUUUAUCCACGCCAGCCCACAUCACUGCAAGCACUGCCAACUCACCCCCAGUUACAGUUGGUGGCACCAGCCCAUGAUUUGGUAGGGCCUAGAUCAUGAGUAAUCAUCUCAAAAAGUAAUUCAUAGUGGUUUAUUAAGAAGUGUAAUAAGUUGUUUCAUCUAACGCAUCCAAGCAGGAAUGCAUGACUCAAGAUAUUUUGUGCAACAUAAUCCAGUGAUUGUCAUUCAUUUUGUUAGACUAUAGUUGCUAUACUCCACUGUCAAAAUAGGACUCCAGUGCCUCCCGAGUGAUCCAUCAUGUAUGAUAUUCCUGGGUAUGUAAACUUAAAUUAUUUUUGUAUGUUCUCUAUAUUUAUGUAGUUGAAAAUUUAUCAAUUGACCAAUUCGGCACAUUUGGGCAGACUUGAUACAAAAUACUGUGCAGUAUUGCAAUGCUUCAUUGGCUCAAUCUGAACUUUGCACACAGGCUGCAUCUAGUGGCCAAAAUCUAAAUUACGCCUUAACUGCAAUAUUAUGGC
rnacentral:lncRNA from 13 species